UCUGGCCUUGGGGUUACUUCCUCUUUCGUAAACGCGGCUGAAGUCGCUCACGCAUUGACAGUUUUUUUAAAUCCUUACACCUUUCUCGGGGGAAUUUUUGUUUUUAAUGCCGUCAUCAACUACCUGGAAUUUGAAUCAUUUUGCUUUCCCAUCACCGUGGAACCUUGCCCUUCAGUCUGAAGAACGUGUCUCCGAAGAGCUGCCACCCGUCCGUGCUACAGGUCUCGCGAGAAGGCGACAUCUCUCGCGUUACUUCCUUGUUUCCAGAAUCCUUAGCGCGAAGUGGGAAAACACUCAUUUAGCUCAGCUUUUUAUGAUCACUGCGGUUUCUUCAGUGGCUUCCCUGUUGCUGGUUCUCCGUGAGAAAUGGCGGCUCCAGAACAGCCGCUGCCGAUGUCGAGAGGAUGCCAGAGCUCUGCUUCGCUUUCUCCGCCGCGGGGUGACCGAACCCUUCUAGUGAGGCACCUGCCAGCCGAGCUGACCGCUGAGGAGAAAGAGGACUUACUGAAGUAUUUCGGGGCGCAGUCCGUGCGCGUCCUGUCCGAUAAGGGGCGACUGAAACAUACAGCUUUUGCUACUUUCCCUAAUGAAAAAGCAGCUAUAAAGGCAUUGACAAGACUUCAUCAACUGAAGCUUUUAGGUCAUACUUUAGUUGUUGAAUUUGCAAAAGAGCAAGAUCAAGUUCAUUCACCAUGUCCUUCUUCAAGCACUGAAAAAAAGAAAAGGUCUGAUGAUACUGUGGAAGAUGAUAAAGAAAAGAAAGAACUUGAUUGUUUAACCAUAGAAAAUGGAAUUGCACCAAACCAUGGGCUGACCUUUCCUCUAAAUUCAUGCCUCAAGUAUAUGUACCCACCACCUUCAAGCACAAUUCUAGCAAACAUAGUAAAUGCUUUGGCAAGUGUGCCUAAGUUCUACGUACAGGUGCUUCAUCUUAUGAAUAAAAUGAAUUUGCCCACACCUUUUGGACCAAUUACUGCAAGGCCUCCCAUGUAUGAAGACUAUAUGCCACUACAUGCUCCUCUUCCACCUGCAUCUCCUCAGCCACCGGAGGAACCUCCUUUGCCAGAUGAGGAUGAGGAAUUAUCUAGUCAAGAAUCAGAAUAUGAAAGCAGUGAUGAUGAAGACCGUCAAAGAAUGACCAAACUAAUGGAACUAGCAAAUCUUCAGCCCAAAAGACCAAAAACAAUAAAGCAGCGCCAUGUGAGAAAAAAGAGAAAAAUAAAGGAUAUGUUGAAUAUACCAUCAUCUGCUUCACACAGCAGUUUACAUCCAGUGUUGUUACCUUCGGAUGUAUUUGACCAACCACAACCUGUAGGUAAUAAAAAAAUUGAAUUCCAUAUAUCUACCGACAUGUCAGCUGCAUUUAAGAAAGAUUUAGAAAAAGAACAAAAUUGUGAAGAACAAAAUUGUGACUUACCUGCUUCUGAAGUUGAUGCAUCCAAUAUAGGAUUUGGAAAAAUCUUCCCAAAACCAAAUUUGAGCAUCGCAGAGGAGAUUAAAGAAGACUCUGAUGAAAUGCCAUCAGAAUGUAUUUCUAGAAGGGAGUUGGAAAAGGGCAGAAUUUCUAGAGAAGAAAUGGAAACACUUUCAGUUUUUAGAAGUUAUGAACCUGGUGAACCAAACUGUAGAAUUUAUGUAAAGAAUUUAGCUAAACAAGUACAAGAAAAGGACCUUAAAUUUAUUUUUGGAAGAUACGUUGACUUUUCGUCGGAAACACAACGCAUAAUGUUUGAUAUACGCUUGAUGAAAGAAGGUCGCAUGAAAGGACAAGCUUUCAUUGGACUUCCAAAUGAAAAAGCAGCAGCAAAAGCAUUAAAGGAAGCUAAUGGAUACAUUCUUUUUGGAAAACCUAUGGUGGUUCAGUUUGCUCGAUCUGCUAGACCAAAACAAGAUUCUAAAGAAGGAAAAAGAAAGUGUUAAAAAUUAGUAAAGAAGCAUUCCUGCGUAAAUACUGCUGUAAUACUGUCAUACAAAGUGUAUCCUUUCUUGUUGUAUCCUUUUUGGGGCAGUGUUUUUUUGAUUUUCCUGCAAGUGUUUUGUCUCUCCCCAGAGCAUUGAUCCAGUUUAAGCAAUAAUUUUUUUUUACAAUGUAUUGAAAUGAAGUAUUUUAAAAAUUAUCUGUGUUGAUUGAACAAAUCUUUUAUGUGGUUUUUAGAUUUGUUGCUGAAUUUUCUGUGCUGUCCUUUAGGUUAUGUAGUUUUUCCAGGGAAAGUUAGUGAAUCAGGUUCCAUUUGAAUUUUUCAUAUCUCUCAAGUGCUUUCCAACUUUGUGGAGACGAAAUUGACCACCUGGACUAUGGAACU